CAGUCGCCACGGUAAUACGUAGGUGGCAAGCGUUGUCCGGAAUUAUUGGGCGUAAAGGGCUCGCAGGCGGUUUCUUAAGUCUGAUGUGAAAGCCCCCGGCUCAACCGGGGAGGGUCAUUGGAAACUGGGAAACUUGAGUGCAGAAGAGGAGAGUGGAAUUCCACGUGUAGUGGUGAAAUGCGUAGAGAUGUGGAGGAACACCAGUGGCGAAGGCGACUCUCUGGUCUGUAACUGACGCUGAGGAGCGAAAGCGUGGGGAGCGAACAGGAUUAGAUACCCGUGUAGUCCCUGUCUCUUAUAC
rnacentral:rRNA from 1 species